rnacentral:rRNA from 1 species
CCUACGGGUGGCUGCAGUGAGGAAUAUUGGUCAAUGGACGAGAGUCUGAACCAGCCAAGCCGCGUGAAGGAUGACUGCCCUAUGGGUUGUAAACUUCUUUUAUAAAGGGAUAAAACGAGACACGUGUGCCUUGUUGCAAGUAUUUUAUGAAUAAGGAUCGGCUAACUCCGUGCCAGCAGCCGCGGUAAUACGGAGGAUCCGAGCGUUAUCCGGAUUUAUUGGGUUUAAAGGGAGCGUAGACGGGUUGUUAAGUCAGUGGUGAAAGUUUGCGGCUCAACCGUAAAAUUGCAAUUGAUACUGGCAGUCUUGAGUACAGUUGAGGUAGGCGGAAUUCAUGGUGUAGCGGUGAAAUGCUUAGAGAUCACGAAGAACCCCGAUUGCGAAGGCAGCUUACUAAACUGUAACUGACGUUGAUGCUCGAAAGUGUGGGUAGCAAACAGGAUUAGAUACCCGAGUAGUC